rnacentral:rRNA from 1 species
CCUACGGGAGGCAGCAGUGGGGAAUAUUGCGCAAUGGGCGAAAGCCUGACGCAGCGACGCCGCGUGAGGGAUGAAGGUCUUCGGAUCGUAAACCUCUGUCAGCAGGGAAGAACGGUCACUGUGCUAAUCAGCAGUGAAUUGACGGUACCUGCAAAGGAAGCACCGGCUAACUCCGUGCCAGCAGCCGCGGUAAUACGGGGGGUGCGAGCGUUAAUCGGAAUUACUGGGCGUAAAGCGCUCGUAGGCGGUAUGUCAAGUCAAGGGUGAAAUCCCCGCGCUCACCGUGGGAACUGCCUUUGAAACUGGCAAACGUGAGUGUUGGAGAGGAGAGUGGAAUUCCAGGUGUAGGAGUGAAAUCCGUAGAUAUAGGGAGGAACAUCAGUGGCGAAGGCGACUAUCUGGCACAUAACUGACGCUGAGGAGCGAAAGCGUGGGUAGCAAACAGGAUUAGAUACCCCAGUAGUC